UAGUUUGUGAAAGAAGCUUAUUAGCAUAUCUCUGAGGGUGAGAUUUUACCUGUAAUCAGUUUCUUAAUGUAUUAGGCUUGGACUUGUGUGUUUUUGCUUUAUUGUGCUUGGUAACUUACUUUGUUCUGGUCUGUCAUUACUUGAAACCACUGAAAUCCUACUUUUUAUAAGUGGAAGAGCUGCCGCAGGCAUGCCGCCGAAGGAAAAAAAGGGAAGAGCUGCUCUGUAGAAGA